rnacentral:rRNA from 1 species
AACGAACGCUGGCGGCGUGGCUAAGGCAUGCAAGUCGAGCGGAUUUAUCUAACGGGUAACUGGAGGAUAAAUUAGCGGCGGACGGGUGAGGAAUACAUGGAUAACGUACCCCGGACACAGGGAUAGCGGCGGGGCCGAAAGGCUCCUUUGCGAAAGUGCCGGUAAUACCUGAUGAGCCCGUAGGACCGCAUGGUCCAGCGGGCAAAGCUCCGACGGUCUGGGAUCGGUUCAUGUCCUAUCAGCUAGUUGGCGGGGUAACGGCCCACCAAGGCGGCGACGGGUACCGGGUGUGAGAGCAUGACCCGGCACAUCGGAACUGAGACACGGUCCGGACACCUACGGGCGGCUGCAGCAACGAAUAUUCCGCAAUGGACGAAAGUCUGACGGAGCGACGCCGCGUGCAGGAUGAAGUCUUUCGGGAUGUAAACUGCUGUCAGGGGCGAGGAAGAAAGUGACCAGCCCAGAGGAAGCACCGGCUAACUCCGUGCCAGCCGCCGCGGU